rnacentral:rRNA from 1 species
GAUGAACGCUGGCGGCGUGCUUAACACAUGCAAGUCGAACGGUGAACGAGGGAGCUUGCUCCCUCCGGAUCAGUGGCGAACGGGUGAGUAACACGUGAGCAAUCUGCCCUGGACUCUGGGAUAAGCGUUGGAAACGACGUCUAAUACCGGAUACGAGACGCGAAGGCAUCUUCAGCGUCUGGAAAGAACUUCGGUCCAGGAUGAGCUCGCGGCCUAUCAGGUAGUUGGUGAGGUAACGGCUCACCAAGCCUACGACGGGUGGCCGGCCUGAGUGGGUGACCGGCCACACUGGGACUGAGACACGGCCCAGACUCCUACGGGAGGCAGCAUUGGGGAAUAUUGCACAAUGGGCGCAAGCCUGAUGCAGCAACGCCGCGUGAGGGACGACGGCCUUCGGGUUGUAAACCUCUUUUAGCAGGGAAGAAGCGAAAGUGACGGUACCUGCAGAAAAAGCACCGGCUAACUACGUGCCAGCAGCCGCCGUAAUAC